UUUUUUUUGUAGGGUGGAAUUACUUCUUCAGAUGUUGCUACAAAAGCUUUAGAAGCAAAACGUGCCAGAAUAGUUGGGCAAGCAUUCGCUGGUGUUCCUUUGUGGCAGUUGGGCCGUGCAAAGCAGGCAUCCGGGUGUUCCUUACAUUGUUUUUCCAGGAUGCAGAAAAGGGGUAUAAUAUUGAAGGGGUUAAAGCAGUUCAUUUGAAUUAUUCAUCCUAGUGCUCUAAAGCAAGGAGGAAACCCUUUGGUGGCAAGCUGCAUCUCUGCUGCUGAAAGCAUAUUUAACAAAAAAGCUCUACUAUUUGUUUAGAGGGACAAAAAUGAAAGUUGAAAUUUGUAUUGAUCUUCAGCUUAUCACCGUUCAUUUUGAUCAUGGUAAUUCCAAACAAGAACAUGUAAUGUUUGGGAAUCUUCCUUUAAUUUGUACUGCUUUAAAACAUGUAAUAAAAUCCUUUAGCAUUA